rnacentral:rRNA from 3 species
AACCCUAAGCGGGGGAUCACUUGGCUUGUGGGUCGAUGAAGAACGCAGCAAACUGCGUGUUGACAUGUGAACUGCAGGACACAUGAACAUUGACAUUUUGAACGCAUAUUGCGGUCCAUACUGAUUUGUUUCUGUAAAAAGAAGCUGUAUGGACCACACAUGGUUGAGGGUCG